rnacentral:siRNA from 1 species
UGGAUUUCACGACCAAACGCA